rnacentral:lncRNA from 1 species
GAUGACUUAUAUUGAUGGCCAAUUCGGAUCAGGUUCGGGUCGGGUUCGGGUUCGGGUUCGGAUCGGGUACAAUCAAAAUCCAUAUCCGAAUCCAUAUCCGUCGGGUUUCUAUUUUCGAUAUCCAUAUCCGAAUCCAUAUACAUAUCCAUCGGAUAUAUCCGUUUCAUUCGGGUUCGGGUUCGGAUGAAAUUUUGAAUAUCCUUACCAAUUGACAUCCCUACCAACUGGUCUAAAAAGUACAAAUGGGAAAGGAUUUGGGCUUUUAAGUUCCUUUAUAGAGUUAUAUUUAAGCCCAAUACAAUUGUUGUAGGCCAUCUAAUUUUGUCCUUUAUUUCAUAACCAUCAUGGAUAUAUCAUGGAUAUAUCAUUGCUAUUUGAGAUGAUAAUAUGAUAUUGUUUUACUUCUCAUAUUAUAAAAAUUGAGUCCAAUCGAUAGUACCAAACUUUUGAUACUAUCGUAUUUUCUACCGUUAGAUCUACCCUUAAAGUUUUUUCACUCGUUAGAUUAUACUAUUCAACUAGCCAUUCACUCAACUCUAGAAAAUUACUAUCAUCCUAACCACACAUCCUUUUAUCCAACGGCCGAAAACUCUAUAAUACCAAAUGUUUGGUACUAUGGAAAGUAUAGUAACGUAAUUCUAUAAAAUAUCUAAAAAAAAAU